UACGUAGGGGGCUAGCGUUGUCCGGAAUCAUUGGGCGUAAAGCGCGUGUAGGCGGUUCGGUAAGUCCGCUGUGAAAGUCGGGGGCUCAACCCUCGGAAGCCGGUGGAUACUGUCGGGCUAGAGUACGGAAGAGGCGAGUGGAAUUCCUGGUGUAGCGGUGAAAUGCGCAGAUAUCAGGAGGAACACCUAUUGCGAAGGCAGCUCGCUGGGACGUUACUGACGCUGAGACGCGAAAGCGUGGGGAGCAAACAGG
rnacentral:rRNA from 1 species